rnacentral:misc_RNA from 1 species
UCUCCGUAGGUGAACCUGCGGAGGGAUCAUUAUCGUGCCAGGGCGUCUCAGGACGCCCCGACUCAAAAACGUGGACCGUCAAGCGUGCUUCGGCGCCUCGUGCGCCGCAUCCAUGCCCGAUGAAGCCUGUGUCUGAUUUAAAUAUGGAAUGAAAACCUUCAGCAAAGGAUCUCUUGGCUCUUACAUCGAUGAAGAACGCAGC